rnacentral:rRNA from 1 species
UACGUAGGGACCAAGCGUUGUCCGGAAUCAUUGGGCGUAAAGCGCGCGUAGGUGGCUUCGUAAGUCCGCUGUGAAAGUCAAAGGCUCAACCUUUGAAAGCCGAUGGAUACUGCGGAGCUAGAGUACGGAAGAGGCGAGUGGAAUUCCUGGUGUAGCGGUGGAAUGCGCAGAUAUCAGGAGGAACACCAAUAGCGAAGGCAGCUCGCUGGGACGUUACUGACACUGAGGCACGAAAGCUAGGGGAGCAAACAGG